UGCCUAAAGCGGCCGUAGCUGGCUAAGUUAGUCCCCUGUUAAAUCCAACGAAUUAAUCGUUGGAUCGCGGGGGAUACUGCUUGGCUAGGGGACGAGAGAGGCAGACGGUAUUUCCGGGGUAGGGGUGAAAUCCUAUAAUCCCGGGAAGACCACCAGUGGCGAAGGCUGUCUGCUAGAACGCGCCCGACGGUGAGGGAUGAAAGCUGGGGGAGCGAACCGGAUUAGAUACCCGGGUAGUCCCAGCUGUAAACGAUGCAGGCUAGGUGUUUGGACGGCCACGUGCCGUUCUAGUGCCGCAGGGAAGCUGUUAAGCCUGCCGCCUGGGGAGUACGAUCGCAAGAUUGAAACUUAAAGGAAUUGGCGGGGGAGCACCACAAGGGGUGAAGCUUGCGGUUUAAUUGGAGUCAACGCCGGAAAUCUCACCGGGAGCGACAGCAGUGUGAAGGCCAGAUUAAAGGUCUUGCCAGACGAGCUGAGAGGAGGUGCAUGGCCGUCGCCAGUUCGUGCCGUGAGGUGUCCUGUUAAGUCAGGCAACGAUCGAGACCCGCGUCCUCUGUUGCUACUAGCCUUGUGCUGGGCACACUGAGGAGACCGCCACUGAUAAAGUGGAGGAAGGAGCGGGCCACGGCAGGUCAGUAUGCCCCGAAUCUCCCGGGCCACACGCGAGCUGCAAUGGCAGGUACAAUGAGUUCCGACCUCGAAAGGGGGAGGCAAUCUCGAAAGCCUGCCGUAGUUGGGAUCGAAGGCUGCAACCCGCCUUCGUGAACAUGGAAUCCCUA
rnacentral:rRNA from 1 species